AUUGAACGCUGGCGGCAGGCCUAACACAUGCAAGUCGAACGAGUGGCGGACGGGUGUGAUAUGUCUGGGAAUCCGCCCGAUGGAGGGGGAUCACUUCUGGAAACGGUCGCUAAUACCGCAUACCCUCGUAUGUGCCCAGAUGGGUUUAGCUAGUUGGUGGGGUAACGGCUCACAAAGGCGACGAUCCGUAGCUGGUUUGAGAGGACGACCAGCCACACUGGAACUGAGACACGGCCCAGACUCCUACGGGAGGCAGCAGUGGGGAAUAUUGGACAAUGGGCGAAAGCCUGAUGCAGCCAUGCCGCGUGUGCGAAGAAGGCCUUCGGGUUGUAAAGCACUUUUGGCGGGGAGGCGUUACCUGCAGAAGAAGCACCGGCUAACUACGUGCCAGCAGCCGCGGUAAUAC
rnacentral:rRNA from 1 species